UACGUAGGGUCCGAGCGUUGUCCGGAGUUACUGGGCGUAAAGCGCGCGCAGGCGGCUCACCAAGUCUGGCGUGAAAGCCCCCGGCUCAACCGGGGAGGGUCGUCGGAGACUGGUGGGCUUGAGGGCGGUAGGGGCUGGUGGAAUUCCCGGUGUAGUGGUGAAAUGCGUAGAGAUCGGGAGGAACACCUGUGGCGAAGGCGGCCAGCUGGGCCGACCCUGACGCUGAGGCGCGAAGGCGUGGGGAGCGAACGGG
rnacentral:rRNA from 1 species